GGGCGCGUAGCUCAGCUGGUUAGAGUGCCACGUUGACAUCGUGGAGGUCACAGGUUCGAGUCCUGUCGCGCCCA
rnacentral:tRNA from 3 species